GCAAUAAAAGUUUAAGUUGUAAGCAUUGGUUUUGUAAAUCAAAGAGUGAAAUUGUAUUUCUUAUUGUU
rnacentral:tRNA from 1 species